GUGUCAGCAGCCGCGGUAAUACGUAGGUGGCGAGCGUUGUCCGGAAUUACUGGGCGUAAAGGAUGCGUAGGCGGAAGAUUAAGUCAGAUGUGAAAUCCCUGGGCUCAACCCGGGAAUUGCAUUUGAAACUGGUUUUCUAGAGUGCAGGAGAGGAAAGCGGAAUUCCUAGUGUAGCGGUGAAAUGCGUAGAUAUUAGGAAGAACACCAGUGGCGAAGGCGGCUUUCUGGACUGUAACUGACGCUGAGGCAUGAAAGCGUGGGGAGCAAACAGGAUUAGAUACCCUGGUAGUCCACGCUGUAAACGAUGAGUGCUAGGUGUAGGAGGUAUCGACACCUUCUGUGCCGCAGUAAACGCAAUAAGCACUCCGCCUGGGGAGUACGGUCGCAAGACUAAA
rnacentral:rRNA from 1 species